GGCACUAAAACCACCGCUUCAUAUACUUUAAGUGGAAGACCACCAGAUUUUCAGGAUUUAGAAAGACCUCCUUCAACCCUUCAAAAUGAAGAAAUCUGUGCAUUUGGCAAGCUAAAAAGAGACUGCUCUUUGAGUGAAAAUGUUGUUGGCCAAAAUAGACGUUGAUCAGGAGUGAUUUCAUCGUGACACCAUCACCAUAAGAAGCUGUCUUCCCAACAUGUUACCCGAAAAUAGAACUAAUCUUUCCUCUGUUCAUGGCAUUCUGUCAUUUAUCCAGUCUUCUACUCGUAGGGCUUACCAGCAUAUCGUGGAUGAGAUGGGUGAAAAUCGCAGACCUGUGCAGUAUGGCAGGUCUGCUGCUACCACUUCUAAUCCGCAUCGUGACAACAUCAGGUAUGGCACUUCAAACAUAGAUACAAGUGAAGGAACUUCGGAUGACAUGACUGUUGCAGAUGCAGCUUCGUUAAGACGACAGAUAAUCAAACUAAAUAGACGCUUGCAACAUCUAGAAGAGGAGAACAAGGAACGUGCCAAGAGAGAAAUGGUCAUGUAUUCAAUUACCAUAGGAUUGUGGCUGCUUAGUAACUGGCUCUGGUUUCGCCGCUAGAGGUAACUUCAGCUCUUAAACAUACUGCCUCAACAGCUAGAAAUAUAGAGAACUUGCAAACUU